rnacentral:rRNA from 1 species
UACAGAGACUGCAAGCGUUAUUCGGAUUCACUGGGCGUAAAGGGUGCGCAGGCGGCCAAGUGUGUGAGGCGUGAAAGCCUGGGGCUUAACUCCAGAGUUGCACCUCAAACUACAUGGCUAGAGCAUUGGAGAGGGUAGCAGAAUUCACGGUGUAGCAGUGAAAUGCGUAGAUAUCGUGAGGAAUACCAGAGGCGAAGGCGGCUACCUGGACAAUUGCUGACGCUCAGGCACGAAAGCGUGGGGAGCAAAAGGG